UGGUCCUGGACUCUGCUUUGUCUGCCUGCUGUACAUAAUAGCUCUAACUGCAGAAUCUGAGGGGAUACACAGCAAUCUCCUUCUCCAUUUAAGAGGGCCAUACUGAGCACCAGGCUGUCUCUUAAAGGCACAGGAGGCACU